rnacentral:rRNA from 1 species
UACGUAGGUGACAAGCGUUGUCCGGAUUUACUGGGCGUAAAGAGCGCGCAGGCGGUCGUUCAAGUCGAGUGUGAAAGCCCCCGGCUCAACUGGGGAGGGUCAUUCGAUACUGAUCGACUCGAAGGCAGGAGAGGGUAGUGGAAUUCCCGGUGUAGUGGUGAAAUGCGUAGAUAUCGGGAGGAACACCCGUGGCGAAGGCGGCUCUCUGGACCACAACUGACGCUGAGGCGCGAAAGCUAGGGGAGCAAACAGG